rnacentral:rRNA from 1 species
UACGUAGGGUGCAAGCGUUAAUCGGAAUUACUGGGCGUAAAGCGUGCGCAGGCGGUUUUGUAAGUCUGUCGUGAAAUCCCCGGGCUCAACCUGGGAAUGGCGAUGGAGACUGCAAGGCUAGAAUCUGGCAGAGGGGGGUAGAAUUCCACGUGUAGCAGUGAAAUGCGUAGAGAUGUGGAGGAAUACCGAUGGCGAAGGCAGCCCCCCUGGGAUAACACUGACGCUCAUGCACGAAAGCGUGGGGAGCAAACAGG